CGGUGGCCGGUGAGUUCUCUUUGGGUGUGCGUGGCGAGCUGUGAGUGUGAUACAAGCAACGCGGCUGUGUCUUCUGAUAGCACGGUGUCUGAUGCCUCGUGACCCACUGGGGAGGAAGACUCGUGUGCAGUGGAUAGGAGGCAGGUGUGGAGGACAGGUGCUGAAGGACAGGCUGACUCGUGCUGAUAAAUGCUGCACUACCUCCUGGGACUCCUGGCACUGAUAUGUGAUGGAUCAGCCUCGGCCGUCUUCUUCUUAUGAUUGGUGAUUUUUUGACGUGGUGAAGGGCGUUCCUGGACCAACGGCGGACACGAAUUACGCCUGAGACUUGAUGGGGCGUGAUGGGAGGCUGGUCUGGUUCCGCACACACAUACACCCCUAACCUAACCUAACCUAACUUAAACUAACACAACUCAGUCCAAGCUAACAUAAACAUUGUCUUAUAUGAACUUAACUAAUCCGAUGUAACUUAACUUAACCUAACCUAAGUCCAAGUUAACCUAAUAUAACCUGACUUAAUCUAAACUUACUCAAUAUAACCUAACUUAACCUAAUCUAACUUCAGUACUGGGACACAUAUUUACCUGUUUUUUGGGGUGUGGUUAAACUAUUUCAUUUGCACUAGGAAAGGUCAAUGGAGAUCAGGAGAUUUAUGGCCAGAGUCUUCACUAUUUCAACCCCCCACAUAAGUUUCUGAAGCUGUAUAGAAUCACCAAAUAAUAAACAGAAUAUGAAUAUGAAAACACGUCAUGGUACUGAAGGGAUUAACCAAACCACUCAAUCCAGGCUAACUUAACCUAAUCUAAUCUAAACUUACCUAAUCCAACUAACUUAUCCUAACCUAACUAAUACCACUAGAAUCCCUCUAUCAAACACCGCCUCUCUCUAUGGAAUAUAAAAAUACGUCUUUAGUCUGUUUCCUAAUGUGACCUAACUUAAUUAAACCUAAGUGAACACCCACACAUAUAAGCAAGGUCCCCUCCUCCCCUCACCCUUCCAUCUCCUCCUAGAGUCCUACACCCAUAUCCAUCCUUCACAUUAACUAUAGGUUGUGUAG